CAACAAGAGGAACCACCAGCUGAGAGUCAGGAUGUUGAAGCUGGACAAGAGAGAGAAGAAGGAGCACCUGUAGCUGAAGGUGAGGAGGAAACUGAACUGGAAGGUGACUGCCAGGAAAUGGGUCUGGGAAAGAGUGGGAGUGAGUAUGCAGAUGGCCUCAAUGUGAAAAGGAAGAUUCUGCCUAACCUACAGUGUGCUAGAAUUCCAGAAGAAGGUGGUGGA
rnacentral:lncRNA from 1 species